rnacentral:tRNA from 2 species
GUGAAAUUGGUAGACACGCUGCUCUGAGCAUCUCGGUUCGAGUCCGAGUAGCGGCA